rnacentral:rRNA from 1 species
GACAGGGGGGGCAAGCGUUGCUCGGAAUCACUGGGCGUAAAGGGCGCGUAGGCGGGAUGGCAAGUCAGUCGUGAAAUCUCUCGGCUCAACCGAGAAACGUCGGCUGAUACUGCCGUUCUUGAGGGAUGCAGAGGAGACUGGAAUUCCCGGUGUAGCGGUGAAAUGUGUAGAGAUCGGGAGGAACACCGGUGGCGAAGGCGGGUCUCUGGGCAUCUCCUGACGCUGAGGCGCGAAAGCGUGGGGAGCAAACGGG